rnacentral:rRNA from 1 species
UACGGGGGGGAGCAAGCGUUUGUUCGGAUUUACUGGGCGUAAAGGGCGCGUAGGCGGCGCAACAAGUCACUUGUGAAAUCUCCGGGCUUAACCCGGAGCGGCCAAGUGAUACUGUCGUGCUAGAGUGCGGAAGGGGCUACUGGAAUUCUCGGUGUAGCGGUGAAAUGCGUAGAUAUCGAGAGGAACACCUGCGGCGAAGGCGGGUAGCUGGGCCGACACUGACGCUGAUGCGCGAAAGCCAGGGGAGCGAACGGG